rnacentral:lncRNA from 1 species
UAGCUAUGGUGUACAAUUGCAAAUUUGCAAAAAAUAAAUGACCAAAUUUGGUAAUUAUAAUAACCCAUUUUUAGUCGAAAAUAGAACAGACGAAGCUGUUUUUAUAAAAGUGAAAAAAAAAAUAUAAUAUAGAUUGUAACUCAAUUCAAACUCGAUAUCUCUAAAUCUCCAACCACACAACGCAAUUGACCACCACUUUACUCCACCGAUAAUAUCAAU